rnacentral:tRNA from 1 species
GCCGAGAUGGUGGAAUUGGUAGACACAAGGGACUUAAAAUCCCUCGGUUAUAUAUAACUGUGAGAGUUCAAGUCUCUCUCUCGGCA